UAGGCGGUGUUCGCCUUUUGCUACAUCGCUGAAUGUGGCCGUAGGUGUGCAGCUUGCUCCUUGGCUAAUAUGUGUCGACGGGCGAUAGUAUGAGCGCUUCAUCGCAUACGUUACGGCAAUGCUAGGAAUUGGUGCCGUAGAUUUUAUUUGUUGAUAAUCGCCGGGACAUUUUGUGCAGUGCAUGUGCGGAGAGGUCUUCAGUGUGAAGACCCGACUUCGGCAUGUCAUUACAAGAAGCAUAUGAGUCUAGAGAAAGGUCGAAUGAAGGAAAAGCGCCAAGCACGCACAUCACUCAUGCUUCUUCUGCAGGGGACCAAUCAUUACGCACCUACAGUUCUAUUGAAGGCCUUGGAAAUGGUACCACAGCAUCAAAUCAUAAGGUGUUUGAGCCGUCUGACCAGGCGUACUUUCAACAAAAGAUUGAGGUUCCAUACACAGGAGAGACAUCCUUCAGCUGGCGCAAGCUGUGGGCCUUUACAGGUCCAGGUUUCCUGAUGAGCAUUGCAUACCUGGACCCUGGCAACAUUGAGUCAGACCUGCAGUCUGGUGCUCUGGCUGAGUACAAGCUCAUGUGGGUGUUGCUGUCGGCUACUCUGCUGGGCCUGAUGAUGCAGCGUCUGAGUGCUCGGCUUGGCGUUGUGACAGGCCUGCACUUGGCAGAAAUGUGCCGGCGUGGCUAUCCUCGUUUUCCUCGUAUUCUUCUAUGGAUCAUGAUUGAAGUGGCUGUUGUUGGCUCAGACAUGCAAGAGGUCAUCGGCACAGCCAUUGCCAUUUUCCUACUUUCUGGGGGACGGGUUCCACUGUACGCAGGUGUCCUGAUCACAAUAAUAGACACGUUUACAUUCCUGCUGCUGGACAAGUAUGGUCUACGCAAACUUGAAGCUUUCUUCGGCUUCCUCAUUCUCGUCAUGGCACUCACUUUUGGAUACGAGUAUGUGCGGGUGGCCCCGGACCAAGUGAGGGUGGUGGAGGGCCUAUUUGUCCCCUGGUGCUCACAUUGCGACAGCCGGGCCCUAUUGCAGGCAGUAGGCAUUGUGGGUGCAGUCAUCAUGCCACACAAUUUGUACCUCCACUCUGCACUUGUUAAGUCCCGGGCUGUAGACCGUACCGACAAGGUCCAAGUGCGGGAAGCCAACAAGUACUUCUUUAUUGAGGCCUGCAUAGCUCUCCUUGUUUCCUUCAUCAUCAAUAUCUUCGUCAUGGGUGUCUUUGCUCAUGGACUCUAUGGCCGCACGAAUCUCGACAUUAGGAAUCAGUGUAUGGGAACUGAGUUCCAGCACGUCUUUCAUAACAACACAGAUCCUGUGGAUGUGGACAUAUACAAGGGUGGUGUCUACCUGGGCUGUGCAUUUGGCAUGUUCCCACUGUACGUCUGGGCCAUCGGAAUUCUAGCUGCUGGACAGAGCUCCACAAUGACCGGAACUUACUCAGGCCAAUUCAUCAUGGAGGGAUUCCUAAACCUGCCCAUCAGCCGGUGGUUGCGAGUGCUGAUCACGCGGCUAAUCGCCAUCGCGCCCACCAUCUUGUGCGCGGUCUUUGGCAACAUAGAGCAGCUUUCUGGGAUGAAUGACCUGCUCAAUGCGCUCAUGAGCCUGCAACUUCCCUUCGCUCUCAUCCCCACCCUGACCUUCACGACGUCAGCGGCAUUCAUGGGCGAGUUCAGAAACGGAACGUUGACCAAAAUAGGUGCCAGUCUGCUGUCGAUGGUUGUGAUUAGCAUCAACUUGUACUUUGUGAGCAACUUUGUGCACGAGAAUCUUCCAUCUCACUGGGCUGUGUACGUUGGAGUGGCACUUUUCGGGCUCCUGUACUUGGGCUUCAAUCUAUACCUGUUGGCCCACCUUUUGGUUGUGUUUGGCUGCACGUUACUGCUUCAACUUCCUUUCGUUGGCCCGCAUCUCAAAGAGCGCAGUGACCGGGUGCUGUUUAGUGACUCAUCUCAGACGGACAUGUCGUCAUCUCCUGUGUAUAUUACAGAAAGAAAAUCCGUUGGUUACUGAGAAAAACUGCUCGAGUUGAAAAUGGGUGAACUCGUACCAGUUAGUACCCACUUCUGAGUGAUUGCAUCCUCCAUCGACAUGUCCACAACUGAACGAAUUGGGUUGUUGAACUUGCAAUUGAAGAGCGUUGGCGUUUCUGUGAAUGCGACGUUGUACAUAGUGAUUUAGUACUGUCCCUUUCUGUGUGCUGCCGCUGGAAUCUGUCCGCACAAUUUUAUCGACGUAACUCGAAUAAUGCACAAGAGAAUAUUUAUUAAUGGCAGUGUUUCUCCAUAAUUAUGGAAACACUGUGGACAGUUAAUAAACAGAUGUGCUCUUAUAAUAUUACUACGGCAUGAGCUAG
rnacentral:misc_RNA from 1 species